AUUGAACGCUGGCGGCAGGCCUAACACAUGCAAGUCGAGCGGUAGCACAGAGAGCUUGCUCUCGGGUGACGAGCGGCGGACGGGUGAGUAAUGUCUGGGAAACUGCCUGAUGGAGGGGGAUAACUACUGGAAACGGUAGCUAAUACCGCAUAACGUCGCAAGACCAAAGUGGGGGACCUUCGGGCCUCAUGCCAUCAGAUGUGCCCAGAUGGGAUUAGCUAGUAGGUGGGGUAACGGCUCACCUAGGCGACGAUCCCUAGCUGGUCUGAGAGGAUGACCAGCCACACUGGAACUGAGACACGGUCCAGACUCCUACGGGAGGCAGCAGUGGGGAAUAUUGCACAAUGGGCGCAAGCCUGAUGCAGCCAUGCCGCGUGUGUGAAGAAGGCCUUCGGGUUGUAAAGCACUUUCAGCGGGGAGGAAGGCGGUGAGGUUAAUAACCUCACCGAUUGACGUUACCCGCAGAAGAAGCACCGGCUAACUCCGUGCCAGCAGCCGCGGUAAUACGGAGGGUGCAAGCGUUAAUCGGAAUUACUGGGCGUAAAGCGCACGCAGGCGGUCUGUCAAGUCGGAUGUGAAAUCCCCGGGCUCAACCUGGGAACUGCAUUCGAAACUGGCAGGCUAGAGUCUUGUAGAGGGGGGUAGAAUUCCAGGUGUAGCGGUGAAAUGCGUAGAGAUCUGGAGGAAUACCGGUGGCGAAGGCGGCCCCCUGGACAAAGACUGACGCUCAGGUGCGAAAGCGUGGGGAGCAAACAGGAUUAGAUACCCUGGUAGUCCACGCCGUAAACGAUGUCGACUUGGAGGUUGUGCCCUUGAGGCGUGGCUUCCGGAGCUAACGCGUUAAGUCGACCGCCUGGGGAGUACGGCCGCAAGGUUAAAACUCAAAUGAAUUGACGGGGGCCCGCACAAGCGGUGGAGCAUGUGGUUUAAUUCGAUGCAACGCGAAGAACCUUACCUACUCUUGACAUCCAGAGAACUUUCCAGAGAUGGAUUGGUGCCUUCGGGAACUCUGAGACAGGUGCUGCAUGGCUGUCGUCAGCUCGUGUUGUGAAAUGUUGGGUUAAGUCCCGCAACGAGCGCAACCCUUAUCCUUUGUUGCCAGCGGUCCGGCCGGGAACUCAAAGGAGACUGCCAGUGAUAAACUGGAGGAAGGUGGGGAUGACGUCAAGUCAUCAUGGCCCUUACGAGUAGGGCUACACACGUGCUACAAUGGCGCAUACAAAGAGAAGCGACCUCGCGAGAGCAAGCGGACCUCAUAAAGUGCGUCGUAGUCCGGAUUGGAGUCUGCAACUCGACUCCAUGAAGUCGGAAUCGCUAGUAAUCGUAGAUCAGAAUGCUACGGUGAAUACGUUCCCGGGCCUUGUACACACCGCCCGUCACACCAUGGGAGUGGGUUGCAAAAGAAGUAGGUAGCUUAACCUUCGGGAGGGCGCUUACCACUUUGUGAUUCAUGACUGGGGUG
rnacentral:rRNA from 1 species